rnacentral:misc_RNA from 1 species
UUAAGUUCAGCGGGUAGUCCUACCUGAUUUGAGGUCAGAGGUCAUAAAACUUGUCUCUAUACCGAGACGGUUAGAAGCUUGCCAAACGCUUCACGGUCGCGGCGUAGACAUUAUCACACCGACAACCCGAUCCGCAAGGAACCAAGCUAAUGCAUUUAAGAGGAGCCGACCUUUAAAGACCGACAAGCCUCCAAGUCCAA